UACGAAGGGGGCUAGCGUUGUUCGGAAUCACUGGGCGUAAAGGGUGCGCAGGCGGGUUCAUAAGUCAGGGGUGAAAGCCCGGGGCUCAACCUCGGAACGGCCUUUGAUACUGUGGAUCUAGAGUCUGGGAGAGGUGAGUGGAAUUGCGAGUGUAGAGGUGAAAUUCGUAGAUAUUCGCAAGAACACCGGUGGCGAAGGCGGCUCACUGGUCCGGAACUGACGCUGAGGCACGACAGCGUGGGGAGCAAACAGG
rnacentral:rRNA from 1 species